GGGGCUGGAGAGAUGGCUCAGAGGUGAGGA
rnacentral:piRNA from 1 species